ensembl:lncRNA
CCCUGGUUCACAGGUGUUAUAUGAAAGCUCAGGACUCAGAGUGAAGCUCUGUCUCCUUGUUUGCUUCUCUUUGCUUGUGUGUCUUCUACUGUUUUGUAUCUCACUCCACUCUCCAGAUCCUGCAGCUGCAACUCACAAUUCCAGGCAAGUUUCCCUAAUCAGGAUGCAGUGUUGGCUGACCAUAUGCUUUGAAACCCGAGCUAUCUGUGGUGUAACAGUUCAUUGCACUGAUGCUACUCCACACAACAAAAGAAAAGGCCCAAAGUGAAGACAGCAUUGCUCAGAGGCCUUGCUAACUGCCACCCUCCACUGCCCAUUCUCCAUUGCAGAGGACUCAAGCGCUUCUUGUCAAGGGACAACACUGUUUUUUCCAUCAUGACUGCUUCUUGUCAUGCUCUACUCGAGGAGAGGACAGAUGUCUAGUUGAAUGUGUAUGUAAAGAGUAAAACCAAAGAAGCCUUCCAGCUAGCAGCUCAGAAAUCUGGGUGUCCAAGGAGAACCCCGCCAAGCCUACCUAAUGCAGAGCUGAUCUGAAAACAUGAAGCAUUGAGACCCUUUUCCACCCUUUACUCCAGCAGCAAGAUCUGGGCAGUUUUCUACAUGCAUCUUGCAUAUGCAUUCAUGGUUAACGCUCUGAGGCAGGAUCUGAUGUCAGAGCAGGUCUUGUGGGUAGCAGGAGCUAUAUUUCACCCAGACCUCUGAAGUAGCUGAGCAGCCACUCAACCUGGAGGACAGCAGCUGGCAGUGAGAGGCGGGCAGAGACGUGACCCAGAAGAGCAUCUGCUGAGAAGAGGUAAACAUGCUAUAAAUUAAUACCCUUGUGCACAUAAUGGAAACCUUUCUGCCUUAACAACCUGCUAGACAAGGAUGUGAUUGAUCCCGCUGCCCAGCACUGCUCCCUCCCACAGUGGAAAUCUGUGCACACUGUGAUGGAGGAUUGGAGAUGAGUGAAGUGGAAGACCUGGGAGUGGCAUUCCUGGCAGCACUGGGACUGCUUGGUUUUGCUCCCUACUGCCAGCAAGGGCACAGUUGAGAUUUGUUAAAAUGAGCUGUAAUUUAAAUGCAUUGUAAAAAGCCUGAGCACACUGUGGUUCAACUGGAUUCGGCUUCUUCUUUGCCUCCUAUUACCAGGAACAUCUCAGCUGAUGGCAGAUGCAGCCCUUUCUAU